rnacentral:rRNA from 1 species
AGGGUGCCAAGCUGUCUGUGCUGGAUGCCAUCUCGCAACUGAUGGCAGUCAAGGCUGAGUACGGUUGUAGCCGAGGUUGCUUCGAAGCAUUUCUGGGAGUAUGGGCUAACAGCCUGCCUGAGGGCCAUGAACUGCCGAAAAUCAUGUACGGUACGAAGAAAAUCAUGAAGGCGCUCUCCAUGGACUAUGAGAAAAUACAUGUUUGUCCAAAGAAUUGCCUUUUGUUUAGGCAUGAGUAUGUGGAUGACAAGUACUGUAGGAAGUGCGGUUCCUCUCGGUAUAUUGAGGUGGUCGAUAAGCAUGGUCAGAAGCAGCAGCUAAAAGUCCCUGUGAAGGUUCUUCGGUAUCUUGAUUUUAUAAAAAGACUGCAGCGCCUUUUCAUCACCGAGGAGUCUGCCAAAAUGAUGAAGUGGCACAAGGAAGGGAAAAGGUACAAUCCAAAAAAAAUUGUACAUCCAUCAGGAGGUGAAGCAUGGAAGUCAUUCGAUAUAGAGUACCCGGAGGAAGCAGCCGAGGCUGGGAAUGUC